rnacentral:tRNA from 1 species
UCCCAGAUAGCUCAAAAGGUCAAGAAUCUGCCUGCAAUGCAGAAGACCUGGGUCCGAUCCCUGGGUUGGGAA